AGUAACGGCGAGUGAACAGGGAAAAGCCCAAAUUUGUAAUCUGGCACUUUUUACAAGUGUCCGAGUUGUAAUUUGUAGAGCUGUUAUCCGUACUGGACCAUGUACAAGUCUGUUGAAAAGCAGCAUCAUUGAAGGUGAAAAUCCUGUAGAUGAUAUGGACUACCAGUAUAUUUGUGAUACGGUUUCUAAGAGUCGAGUUGUUUGGGAAUGCAGCUCAAAGUGGGUGGUAAAUUCCAUCUAAGGCUAAAUAUAAGUGAGAGACCGAUAGCAAACAAGUACCGUGAGGGAAAGAUGAAAAGAACUUUGAAAAUAGAGUUAACAGUACGUGAAAUUGCUGAAAGGGAAACGUUUGAAGUUAGUUUUGUAUUCGUUGGAUCAGCUUCGCAAGGAGUGUAUUCUGAUGAUAAGCAAGUCAACAUCAGUCUAUGAGUGUUGGAUAAGGGUUUUGAGAAUGUAGCAAUUUAAUUGUGUUAUAGCUUGAGACUUGGAUACAAUGCUUUGGAUUGAGGAACGCGUAGUAAGCUUUGAGCGGAUUCGAAAGGAUCUCCUUACUAUGGAUGUUGGUGAAAUAACUUUAAGCGACCCGUCUU
rnacentral:rRNA from 33 species